UCAGCACCCUGGCUGGAGGUCCCUGCACCCAUAUCCUGGCCCUGCACCCCUCUCUGGCACAGGAUGGUUCCCUGAGCAGGGCUGCAGGUGCAGGGGACCAGCUGUGACUCCACAGGGAGCUGCCAGGGGGGAAUGAGCCACUGCUGAGCCACUCUCCCAUCCCGGGGUGUUUGGGGAGAGCCCCAGGCUGAUGCAACACCAGUGCUGGGACAAAGGAGCUCCAGGCUCAGCUUUGGGGCUGCUGCACUCACACAGCAGCUCCUGCUCUUGUUCCUGCUGAUCCUGCAGUUUGGGGUCAGAAGCCAGGAGACAGAAUGGAAAAGGACAGAUCAUGGAAAACACCCCAAGACAUCUUCACAUGUGUUUGAGCUCUUGCAGGCUUGCACAGUCAACUUUUUAAUGACUACAAAUUGUGAUAGCAUUCCAGGUUAUCACUGAAUGAAAAAGCAAUCUCAGACUCUGAAGAAGGUAGGGAGGUUCUCUGUCCUCUCAAGAAAGACAAAGCAUGGCUAAAUGUUGGAAGAUGAUGAGA